rnacentral:rRNA from 1 species
CUGCUAUCGGGGUUCGAUUAAGCCAUGCGAGUCGAGAGGUGCAAGACCUCGGCGCACUGCUCAGUAACACGUGGACAACCUACCCUCAGGAGGGGGAUAACCCCGGGAAACUGGGGAUAAUACCCCAUAGACCAGGGAUGCUGGAAUGCCUCCUGGUUCAAAGGUCCGCCGCCUGAGGAUGGGUCUGCGGCCGAUUAGGUUGUUGUUGGGGUAACGGCCCAACAAGCCGUUGAUCGGUACGGGUUGUGAGAGCAAGAGCCCGGAGAUGGAUUCUGAGACACGAAUCCAGGCCCUACGGGGCGCAGCAGGCGCGAAAACUUUACAAUGCGAGAAAUCGUGAUAAGGGAACCCCGAGUGCCCGUAAAUUCGGGCUGUCCGCCAGUGCAAAUAGCUGGUGAAGAAAGGGCCGGGCAAGACCGGUGCCAGCCGCCGCGGUAAUACCGGCGGCUCGAGUGGUGGCCACUAUUACUGGGCUUAAAGCGUCCGUAGCUUGAUUGUUAAGUCUCUUGGGAAAUCCAC